rnacentral:rRNA from 1 species
UGGGGAAUAUUGGACAAUGGGCGCAAGCCUGAUCCAGCCAUGCCGCGUGAUUGAUGAAGGCCCUAGGGUUGUAAAGCUCUUUCACCGGUGAAGAUAAUGACGGUAACCGGAGAAGAAGCCCCGGCUAACUUCGUGCCAGCAGCCGCGGUAAUACGAAGGGGGCUAGCGUUGUUCGGAUUUACUGGGCGUAAAGCGCACGUAGGCGGACUAUUAAGUCAGGGGUGAAAUCCCGGGGCUCAACCCCGGAACUGCCUUUGAUACUGGUAGUCUUGAGUUCGAGAGAGGUGGGUGGAAUUCCGAGUGUAGAGGUGAAAUUCGUAGAUAUUCGGAGGAACACCAGUGGCGAAGGCGGCUCACUGGCUCGAUACUGACGCUGAGGUGCGAAAGCGUGGGGAGCAAACAGG